UAAGGAUUUAAUUUCUUGCCAUAAAAUAUUCCAAUUAGCCUCAAACCAGCACAGUAGGUGUCUUUUGAACAUAAGCAAACUUAUAAAUAUGAAGAUUUAUUACUGUGCAUGAUGUAUUGACUUUACAUUGACCUUCAAGAAAUGCAUUUUUCUUGAUAUUCAACUUUCUUGGUGAUGAACCUCCAGCCCAGCUUUCAGCAGAUGAGUUCUUUGGUGCCUCAGGGACCAAUUGAACAUGAGGAAAUAAAAGCUGGAUCUCAUGUCCUGCCAAGUUUUCACCAAGCAAGCCUGUUCUUACGAGUGCAAUCUGUAGAAGAAAGAGACCAGAUCUUUCAUAAGAAGUCUCUGUAAAUAUUUAGCACUAAAUGUUGUAGGUCCUUUGUCUGUCAGAACGUAGAAGUGUUUCAAAAGAUGUGUUGUACAUUUAUCUCUUGCAUUAUUUCUUUGUUUUUACUUGGAAGAUGUCAGCAGUUCAGAAAGAAUCUCAAGCAGUGGAAAGUGGAUCUUGGCCUAAAGAUGGGCUGUUAACACACAAGAAGCAGGCUCUGUCCUUGGAUGUGCUACAGGUGGAAGAAAAAAAGCAAUAUUAAAAAUUAAACCACAUGAAACUCAGAAAGAUACACAUGAGGAACACCACUUGCGACAGUCUUUGCCUCUGGCAUGCUUCAGCUGUCAAGUAAUUUAUUUAAUUAUUGUAAGAAAAAUACUGAAAAUGUAUUAUUAGUCCAUAUAAUGAUACUUGUGGAGACAAAAUAAUGUCACUCCCCCCAAAUUUGCUCUGAACACUAUCUGUUCCUGACCUAAAUUACCAGGUUUUGUAUCUCCAGUUUUAAUAUAUUUAUCUCCUUGAAAUCGUUCUGGUUUAUGAUUUUUAAAAUCCAGAGGGCCUGUUCACUUCUUCUGCAUGUAGAUGAAACUUCACUUGGCUGCAGCACAAACUGAAGCUGCUUUUGUGGGGGUUGAAUUUGUCCAUACAAUUCCAAGCAUAAUCUAAUCAAAAUAAUUAAAAACAAACAAUGGAAAAUACCACAAAUUUAAUAUAAGCAACGCCAGCUGUAAGUCAUCAUCUUUAAAUAGAGAAGAUGUAUUAAAAAUUCAUUAACUUGAAUUUGUAUUACAGUCAGUGCUUGUCUGAAAUUCAGGAGAUUUUUACAUGGAGAGCUGUAAUUUAAGGACAACUGCUUAAUACCUUGCUCUUGUCGUAGGUUGUGUCUGUCAUUAUGUAGCAGAAGCACAGAUUACAAGCGUAGUACAGACCAUGUCCUAAUUUAACUGAUCCUGUCCAUCCCAUGUCAAGUGAGACUCUUUAGUUUUAUGGUCUUACAAGAUCUGCUAAUAAGAUCUUUAUAGAUAGCUUUGU